CCUCUUGUUCCGUCAAGAGUAGCCUACCGAAAGUGCGUCGCUGGCAACGGCGGGGUGCGAAGCAUCGGGACAACGUGGCGAGGCGGGGAGCAUCACCCUGUGCAGCUG
rfam:Bacterium F083 scaffold_126, whole genome shotgun sequence.